rnacentral:rRNA from 1 species
UACGAAGGGGGCUAGCGUUGCUCGGAAUCACUGGGCGUAAAGGGUGCGUAGGCGGGUCUUUAAGUCAGGGGUGAAAUCCUGGAGCUCAACUCCAGAACUGCCUUUGAUACUGGGAAUCUCGAGUCCGGGAGAGGUGAGUGGAACUGCGAGUGUAGAGGUGAAAUUCGUAGAUAUUCGCAAGAACACCAGUGGCGAAGGCGGCUCACUGGCCCGGUACUGACGCUGAGGUGCGAAAGCGUGGGGGAGCAAACAGG